rfam:Bacteroides sp. CAG:702 genomic scaffold, scf100
GGAGUAAAGCUUGCCGUGAGAAGUCAGCAGAGGUUAUAGUACCUAAGACACGUGUGUCUAUGGGGAAGGAC